rnacentral:rRNA from 1 species
GACGAACGCUGGCGGCGUGCUUAACACAUGCAAGUCGAACGGAAAGGCCUGCUUUCCCUUGUGGAUUGCGGGUACUCGAGUGGCGAACGGGUGAGUAACACGUGAGUGAUCUGCCCCCAACUUGGGUAUAAGCCUGGGAAACUGGGUCUAAUUCCCGAUAGGACUGCAGGGUGGUGCCUGUGGUGGAAAACGAUUUUCUAGUGGUUGGGGAUGAGCUCGCGGCCUAUCAGCUUGUUGGUGGGGUAAUGGCCUACCAAGGCGGCGACGGGUAGCCGGCCUGGGAGGGUGGACGGCCACAGUGGGACUGAGAUACGGCCCAGACCCCUACGGGAGGCAGCAGUGGGGAAUAUUGCACAAUGGGCGGAAGCCUGAUGCAGCGACGCCGCGUGGGGGAUGACGGCCUUCGGGUUGUAAACUCCUUUCGACCGCGAGGAAGCCACCUGGUUGGAAGGGUGGUGACGGUAGUGGUAGAAGAAGCACCGGCUAACUACGUG